rnacentral:rRNA from 1 species
GACAGAGGUGCCGAGCGUUAGGCGGAAUCACUGGGCUUAAAGCGUGUGUAGGCGGAUCGUUAAGUACCUUGUGAAAUCCCACGGCUCAACCGUGGAACUGCUGGGUAUACUGGCGGUCUUGAGCCACCUAGGGGCGAGCGGAACAAGCGGUGGAGCGGUGAAAUGCGUAGAUAUCGCUUGGAACGCCAACGGUGAAAACAGCUCGCUGGGGGUGUGGCUGACGCUGAGACACGAAAGCCAGGGGAGCGAACGGG